rnacentral:rRNA from 1 species
AUACGGAGGAUCCGAGCGUUAUCCGGAUUUAUUGGGUUUAAAGGGUGCGUAGGCGGCCUUUUAAGUCAGCGGUGAAAGUCUGUGGCUCAACCAUAGAAUUGCCGUUGAAACUGGGAGGCUUGAGUAUGUUUGAGGCAGGCGGAAUGCGUGGUGUAGCGGUGAAAUGGUUAGAUAUCAAGCAGAACCCCGAUUGCGAAGGAAGCCUGCCAAGCCAUGACUGACGCUGAUGCACGAAAGCGUGGGGAUCAAACAGGAUUAGAUACCCUGGUAGUCCACGCAGUAAACGAUGAUCACUAGCUGUUUGCGAUACAGUGUAAGCGGCACAGCGAAAGCGUUAAGUGAUCCACCUGGGGAGUACGCCGGCAACGGUGAAACUCAAAUGAAUUGGCGGGG